rnacentral:ncRNA from 1 species
CUUGCAGGCUAGGGGUGCCCUAAUAGAGGGGCUGAGAGCUGGGUCUUUCCCAGCAACCCUUGGAACCUGAUCCGGGUAAUGCCGGCGGAGGGAAGCCUAUGCGGAGGAUC